GAUAGUAUAAUGGAGCUUCCUUCACUCCACUCAUGGACGAGUAAAGGGUUUGAAUUAGCUGCCGACUCAUUCAUUCAAACACAAUUGAACAAACUUAUCAUAAUAUGCUAUUGUGAAUGUGUGAAUGAGGGGGAGAUAAAUUUCAUCCUUUUUUGUCCUUGCUUGGACUGAAGGAAGCUCUCCCUUUAAUUAAU
rfam:Lupinus angustifolius cultivar Tanjil chromosome LG04, whole genome shotgun sequence.